rnacentral:tRNA from 1 species
GUGGGCGGCUGGCUGUCCUCUCGCGGGCGUCAGGGGGCGAGAAAAGGCGGCUUGGGACUCGGCGGGACGUGAACGUUCCUCAGGCGACAGCGAUGCGGUUUCUUCCUCACUGCUCUGCAAAGCUGCGAGCUGACAGCGGAGCUUUGGAAGGUGAAGCUGGCAACUGAAAAAGCGGAGACGAGACGAGUCCUUUUAAAUUUUUUCUUUAAAAUUUUCCUCAACAGGGUAGAAGACGCNNNNNNNNNNNNNNNNNNNNNNNNNNNNNNNNNGCGUUAGACUGAAGAUCUAAAGGUCCCUGGUUCAAUCCCGGGUUUCGGCAGGACUUUUGCUGAGUGGAUCUGGAGUUCUUUCCUUUCCUUCGUGUCUUCCCAAAGGCAAGCCACCACACACGGUGAAGAUGCCAAGAGCUUAAGCCUUUAAAGAAACCUGGACCCGGUCACACAGUCACUCCACUUAAACACUGUUGGAUGUUGGGUCGCAGCAUGUGGCCUGACUCUCAUUUAUAAUGCGGUCCGCUCAGGUCUACAGGUGGAAGGUCUUGCGUUUGAUGCCAAAUAUAAUCACGUUGGGCUUGCAAGUUUUUCUUAUCGGAGACAGAGAUGAAGACAGUGUUCAAAAACGUUGGUCUCUACAGCAGGACUGGCAAAUCAGGGUCCCACCAGUGCGUUAGAAGAAUGGUCGGGCUGGUUCCUGGCUGGAGAGGUGAUUUAUAAGCACGUGUCACGACCUAAAAUGUUUCUUGCAACCUCAGUUUUCUCACCUCUCUUCUCAUAAACAGCGCGUGAACUGUUGUUGCUCAGAGCGAAUGUUUGCAAAUUUCCUGUCAGGAGCAUUACCAUCGUUACUCUAACGACAGGGAUGCAAAUGUCUUGGUUAUGUGUUUACUGAUGUUUUGAAUAUAAACUAAUAUUACAUACUAGUUGUAAGGUAAAAAUAUCCAAAGACCAAUAUCUAUCAUACAAAGGCUGUAAAAGACUGAGGUUGGGAGAGAAAGUUACCGGGCACUUUCCUCCCCUUUCACUUUCUGCAAAACCCACACCAGUCUGGCCUGCCUGCUGGGUUGUAAACUCCGGACUGAAUCAAGUGUGUUUUGCACAACGUCACCUCAGAGAGUGGUGUGGACACAUUCCAAUUUGUUUCAGGAGUUUAAAAUAACCGCCGCCCGAACAGGGACUUGAACCCUGGACCCUCAGAUUAAAAGUCUGAUGCNNNNNCGACUGAGCUAUCCGGGCUCUCAAAAGUGCCUUAUCUCCUAGUCUAUCCACAGAAAAUAGACCACGCUGCCAUUCCUACUAGAUUAAAAUUCUGAGUCUUUUUGUUGAUUUAGUGAGUGGUGAAACUGCAAAAUCAGGUUGGAGCAGGCGCUUGGUGGAAGUCUUUUCUGAUCCCAUCACAGACAGACUAUGAAGAAAACAGUAAGUGCCUGCCAACCCCUGCUCUGACCAAAGGAGGAUGCUCUCACCCCUUGCAUCCUCAGGGGAACAUCUCAGGAGGAAUUCUGAUUUAGGACCCUGGGCGGGUCUCCUGGGGAUCUGGGGAUUUCUAAACCCAAUCUUGGUCUGUGAAGAGCCCCAGAGCAUCUUGUGGGUGGAACUUUAUGAAUAAUUGAUUAGGUUUCCUGUCUUUAUUCAUCAGAACCUAUCCAGGACCAAGACACGGUGGGCGUCCUCAGUGAGGCGGGAAGACACACGAAAUAGAUGUCAAGCGCUUGAGUGGUGGGAAGCCGGUCAACACCGGAAGUUAAGGGUCCUAACCAGUCUUCCAGCUGGUGAUGAUUCCCAGCUGAGCUGCCAGUGGUGACUGGGAGCCUGAAGGCUCAGGAGGAGAAUUCUGAGCAGAGGGANNNNNNNNNNNNNNNNNNNNNNNNNNNNNNNNNNNNNNNNNNNNNNNNNNNNNNNNNNNNNNNNNNNNNNNNNNNNNNNNNNNNNNNNNNNNNNNNNNNUGGUGACUGGGAGCCUGAAGGCUCAGGAGGAGAAUUCUGAGCAGAGGGAAGGGCAGAAGGGAAAAGACCUCCGCUAGUGAAUCUGUACAUUUUCCUUGGAGCUCUCAUUGAAAAGUUUCCACCAGGCUGAAUUUUAUAUUUUUAAGAAGUCCUAUUACCCUGGAGGCAACCCAUGUUGCCUACCAUUCUAUCAAACACUGAAUGUUGCAGCCAUCAAGCCAUGAGUCACUGCAGCUUCCCUGUUGGUGUACUCUAAGGGGAAUUCAGAAUGGAUAAAAAACAGGAUAUUGGCCCUAGAUAGUUAAGAUGCAUGUCAAAGGAAUAAUUUCAAUGAGCUGCGAUCCUUGCAUCAUCCCAUACUUAGAAAAGCACUAAAAUAAUUAACGUGAGACACAUGUUUUUCUAUGUUUAGCAGUAAUCUUUUGAUGUUCAAUUACGUUUUUUUUUCCCCUCCAGAAAAAAGUUCCUGUAUAUCUUGGGUCCUGCCUUACUUUCUUUAGAACAGUUCCUCAGAGCUACCUGAGAGUCUGCUUCACUGGCUAGUCUUCGGUAAGGCCCUUGAAUAAAACGUAACACCUAAGUUGUAGGUUGUGUGUGUGUGUGUUUCAAUUGUCAAUAGUAGCCCCCCCCCUUUUUUUCUUACUUCUGCUCCUUCAUUGCCAUGUUAUUCAUCGAGGCGUUGGAUAAGAUCCCUUGAAAGAGAAAGGAAGGGAAGGGAAUCCUAUGGGAGUAGAGCGUCAUAAGGGUUUUAGCUGUCCCUGGAAUUCAGACACUUCCUCUGUUGGGCAAGAAUAAUUGUAGUUCUUUUAUGGAGAAAUGCAUGGCGUAACUGAGCAGGAUCCUAGGGGGCCUUCCUUGGGCACACCCCUCCCUCCCUACUACAAGCUCUACCUGUCUCUUGUUUGUAGGAAAGGUUUCCUCUCCCAGGCCCUCAAAGGCUAGCUCUAGAGGUGAGGAUUGGAAACAUGCGAACAUGCAGUAACAAAAGCUAGCAGUUGGGCCAGGAGUUUUUAUUCAGUCACUAAGUCGUGUCCAGCUCUCUGCAGCCCCAUGGACUGCAGCACACCAGGCUUCCCUGUCCUUGACUAUCUUCCAGAGUUUGCUCAAAUUCACGCCCACUGAGUGGUGGUGCUAGAUGACCAUCUCAUCCUCUGCCGCCCCCUUCCUGGGCCAGGAGAACUGGUAACAGUGGAAACAGAGCAGCCACAGAAGGCACGGAGUCUUCAGUUCCUCCCUGAAGGACACAGAUAGAUCUGAUGCACAUUCCUGAGGUGGUCUGCAGAUGCUACAACCACCACCAGAGGGAAGAAGCUAGCUGCGCAGUGAGCAGACUGUAGCCCUGACACAAAUGACUCCAUCUGGAGCAGUACCAAAUCUGUGGCUUGCAUACUUCCAGAAAUUCGCCCCAAGAAAGUGGAACCAAACUGACCCUGGAGUUGAAGAUUAACUGUGAUUAAAACAAGACGAGUCCAGCCAGACCACAGUGUUACUCACUUCAAGAUGACCGGCAGGGCUGGCUGUGCUGCUCUGCCCACAAGCCCCACCCCUUCACCCCGGACACUUCCUGGUUUUUCCCUGUGAAAUCUUUUUCUCUCCAACUGAAAGCUUGGAGACGGUUUGGGGGUACACCUGCCUUCUAUCUUCCUAGGUUGCUGGCCUCCUGAAUAAAGCUUCUUUCUUUUCCCACCAGUUCUUGUGUCUCUUGAACAUUGACUUUUGAGUGAGAGCAGCUGAACCUGAGUUCGUUUCCAGCCCUUCUGGUAACCUCAGGAACUAUGAACAAAGUUUAAAAAGUAAUCCAGUAUGGAAAGAUAUUCAAGUUACAUUGAACAAAAAUGACAGAGGUUGCCA